rnacentral:lncRNA from 1 species
AAAAAAAAAAAAAGUAAAAAAAAAAAAGAAUUUGGUUGGAACAGAGCAGCAUUGAGUCUCAGGGUAAUUGUUCCACACUACUGACAAAAGAACUUUGAGUACCCUACACAAUGACCCAUUAAUUAUGAUGCUUUUCUGUCUUGCCAUGGGGACAGGCACUAUUUCUGAAUCUUUUCUCUCUAAUCCUCUUAGACAGUUCUUUCUCCAGCCACAGACGGUCUCCUCAUGUGCAUGUGCCAUCAGCACCCUGCUGAAUUCUUGAGGAGAACCCUCUGCAGAUCUCAGGACUUCUCCCUCCAUGCAGCUGUCUCCUCUCUGGUACUUUACUCUGCAAACUCCAGGCACCUUGGUCUCCUGUACUCUCUGCUCUGUUUAUUCAGUGGAGCUCUGUUUACCCAGGACUCUCCUGGGCACCCCCUGGAUUCUCUGUCCCUGUGCCAUGGCCUGGGAACUCUCUCAAGGCAGUAGGCUGGGGUGACCACUGGUCUCACCUUUUUUAUUUCCCAUCUCUCAGGAUUACUCUCCUUCGUUGCCUGAUGUCCGGUGCCUUGAAAACUGCUGCUUGAUGAAUUUCCUUUGGUUUUUAUGAUUGUUUCAGGCAGGAGGGUCAAUCUGAUCUGUUACUCCACCUUGAUCAGAAGCAGAAGUUGCAAAUGAACCUGUUUUUAUUCCCUUCUAACAAACGUGUGCAUGUGGCUGUGAUUUUAUAUCGCACACCUUCAAUAGAUAUUUUCUGAUUGAGCAUCUUUCCUUAGGCUAGGAACUGAUUGCUGUGCUCACCUGUGACCACCCAGCUCCAAACGAUAGACUUGCCUCCUGCUACACCCGCCAAGAUAGCAAACCCACUACCUGCUGUGUCCAUCAAGCACUGUGCUGACAGGGCAAUCUUGUGACUAUUGUGGGAGGGACACUUCAAUCACAUGUGAAACACCCUGUUUGGGGGUAUGUAACCACUCUGUGCACCCCACUUCUUCGGUGCCCUUUCUUCCUUCGGGAAGAAAGGCCCCGGGCCAUGGUUCCUC